rnacentral:rRNA from 1 species
UACGUAGGGGGGCAAGCGUUGUCCGGAAUCAUUGGGCGUAAAGAGCGUGUAGGCGGCCCGGUAAGUCCGCUGUGAAAGUCCAGGGCUCAACCCUGGGAUGCCGGUGGAUACUGUCGGGCUCGAGUCCGGAAGAGGAGUGUGGAAUUCCUGGUGUAGCGGUGAAAUGCGCAGAUAUCAGGAGGAACACCGGUGGCGAAGGCGGCUUGCUGGGCCAGUUCUGACGCUGAGGAGCGAAAGCGUGGGGAGCGAACAGG